rnacentral:lncRNA from 1 species
AUCUGUCUUAUUAUGUAUGACUCUCUUAGUAGUUGCCCAGUGAUUUACAACAUGCAUCUUUAACUAAUCAAAAAUUACUUUCAAAUGAUAUACCAUUUCAUGUACAAUUUAAGAAGCUUACAGUGGUAUACUACCAGGUCCUCUCCUCCAUAGUUGUGCCUUUUUUGUAAGAUAUUUAUUUUUAUGUAUGCUAUAAACCCACAAUACAUUGCUUCUAAUUUUUCUUUAAACCAGAGGUUGUCAAACUUUUUCUUAAAGGGCCAGAUAGCAAGUAUUUUAGUCUUUCAUUCCACACAGCCUCUAUUGCAACUGUUAACCCUGCCAUAAUAACUCAAAAGCAGCCAUAGAGAAUGUGGAGAAAAGGAAGCCCUCGUACAUUGUUGGUGGUAAUGUAAAUUGAUGCAGCCACUGUGGAAAACAGUAUAGAGGUUUCUCAAAAAGCUAAAAAUAGAACUACCAUGUGACCCAGCAAUUGCAUUGGGUGUAUAUCAAAAAAAACCUCCAAAAACAUUAAUUCAAAAAAAUACCUGCAUCCCAAUAUUCACAGCAGCAAUUUACAAUUGUGAAAAUAUGGAAGCAAACUAAUAUUCCACUGUAUAACCACAUCUUCUUUAUCCCUGCUUGAGAUCAUCAAAUCUCUUUAAGAGCAAUUAAAACAAGUUUAAAAAAUUUUUAUAUUUACCCUUCCUUUAACCAUUUCCAAUCAUCUUUAUUUCUUCUUAUAGAUCCAUAACUAUCUUUUAUCACAAUCUUUCUUCUUAAAAAACUUCGUUUAAUAUUUUUCAUAGCAAUGAUCUACUGGUAAUGAAUUAUGUCGGUUUUUGCUUGAAUUUUUUUUUAAUCAUUAGUUCUGGAGUUCCCUAGUGGCUCAUCAGGUUAAGGAUUCACUGUUGUCGCUGCUGUGGCUUGGGUCACUGCUGUGGCACAAGUUCGAUCCCUGUCCUGGGAACNGGGAACUUACACAUGCCCCAGGAAUGACCAAAAAAAAAAAAAAGAGUAAAUAAAAAAUCUUUAUUUCUUCUUCAUUUUUCGAAAUAUAUUUUAUCUGGGUAUAGAGUUCUGGGUUGACAGGUAUUUUUGUGUGUCAACAUUUUAAAGAUAUCACUUCAUUGUCUUCUGGUUUGCAUGAUUUCUGAUGAGGAUGCUACAAUUCUUGAAUUUGUUACUCUCUAUAUAAAUGGUUGCCCUGGCUGCCUUCAAGUUCUGUUUUUUGUUUUUGGUUUUCAGUAGUUUGAAUAUGAUUUUGUUUAGGUGAAAGAGAGAGAGAGAGAGUGUGUGUGUUUUUUGGUGUUUAUCCUAUUCUAUUUUGGUGUUUUGCUGUAACUUCUUCAUAGUCUUUGUAAUUUUAUGUUUUUCAUUAUUUUCUGAAAAUUUUUGGCUAUUAUUUCUUUAAAUAUUUCUUUUGCUACAUUCUUUGUUCUCUCUGUGGGAUUCCAAUAACUCAUAUGUUAGACUGAUUUAUAUUAUCUUACAGCUCUUGGAUUUUCCAGUUUUUCCACUCUUCUUCCUCUUUGUAUUUCAAUUUGGCCAAUUUUUAUUGACCUUUCUUUAAGUUCACAGAUUUUUUUUCCCUUGGCCUUGUUGAAUCUAGAUAAAGAUAAUCCUAUUAAAAGAAUUUGCCAUCUCCUAUCAAAAAUUAUUCAUAGUAUUUUUUCAUUACCAGCAUUUCAAUUGAUGAAUUUUACAGUUUCUAUCUCUCCGUCUGAAUUCUGUAUUGUUCAAAUCAACUUCAGAAAUGCCUUGAAGUACUCAGAAAUAGUCCCCUUCUCAACUCCUUUUGACUCCUGGGAGGAUAGGGAGGAGUCCUGGGCUGAAUUUGUCUGUAAGAAUAGCCUUUUGUAGAGGACACCCAGGAUAACAACCCAGGGAUUCUCCACUAGAGUCACAGAACCUCAGAAUUCUAGAAGCUGUCAUCUUGGAAUCUUGGAAACUAGGGUUCAAACAAAAUUCAUAAGAUUUUAGAGUUGAAUUUAAGAGCUUGAACACCUCAGGGGGUGGGAAUUUAUCAACUCACAAGGCAGCUGAACCCAAAGGGAGAAAGCCAUCUUGCUUCAAGUAGGAUGAUGUUACAGCACCACUAGGGGGAGUCCAGUCCCUGUCCAGAGCGUCACAGUCACUGUGAAAGCAGGAGCUCCCCUCCCCUAUUCUCUGCCUCCACAUACACUAGGAGUGACAUAGCCACUGAGCAGCAGAAGCAAAACCAAGGAAGAGCAGCACACACUUGUCUUCUUUAAAGUGUUACAUAAUGCUGUUGGAUAUGAAGUCUCAAUUCCUUCUCAUGAAAGGAAGGAAUAAAAAGACAAGACUGUGCCCUAGCCUCUUGAACAUCUUUUUCCUUAAAUUUGCUUUUCCAAAUCUUUGUUGAUAGUUCAAAUUGAUAAUAAAACAAAUUAUUAUAACCAGAGAAUAUUUCUAUUAAAACUAGAGAAUAAUUUUAACCUCACUAGGCUUCAAUAACCUCAUCUCUAAAGCAGGAUCAAUUUCUGUUUCCCUAUGAGGUUUUAAAAUGCUAUAAUGUAACAUCAAAAACGUUAAUGAUACAUUAAGCAACAAAGACAGAUAUUAGGAUAUAUAAUCAGGCAAUGUUAUUUGUAAAAAAAUGAAUGUAUGUGUGUGAAUGUGUAUAUGUGUUUUGUGUGUGCGUGUAUAAAAGAGGGGGCUAGGGAGUUCCCACCAUCGUGCAGCAGAAACGAAUCAGAUUAGGAACCAUGAGGUGGGUUCAAUUCCUGGCCUCGCUCAGGCUCAGUGGGUUAAGGAUCCGGUAUUGCCGUGAGCUAUGGUGUAGGCCGCAGACACAGCUCGGAUCUGGCAUUGGCAUUGUGCUGUAGGCCAGCAGCUACAGCUCCAGUAGACCCCUAGCCUGAGAACUUCCAUAUGCUGUGGGUACCGCCCUAAAAAGACAAAAAAAAAAAAAA